UCAGCCAUAACGUCGGCGAGGCGGAGCAAGAGAGCGCGCGUUGGGACCCGAAAGUUAGUUAACUAUGCCCGAGCAGGACGAAGCCAGAGGAAACUCUGGUAGAGGUCCGCAGCGAUUCGGACGUGCAAAUCGAUCGUCGAACUUGGGUAUAGGGGCGAAAGACUAAUCGAACCGUCUAGUAGCUGGUUCCUGUCGAAGUUUCCUUCAGGAUAGCUGGCACUCGUUGCAGUUUUAUCCGGUAAAGCGAAUGAUUA
rnacentral:rRNA from 1 species